GCCUACGGGGCGCAGCAGUGGGGGAUAUUGCACAAUGGGGGGAACCCUGAUGCAGCGACGCCGCGUGGGUGAAGAAGCGCCUCGGCGCGUAAAGCCCUGUCAGCAGGGAAGAAAAUGACGGUACCUGAAGAAGAAGCCCCGGCUAACUACGUGCCAGCAGCCGCGGUAAUACGUAGGGGGCAAGCGUUAUCCGGAUUUACUGGGUGUAAAGGGGGCGCAGACGGCGAUGCAAGACAGGAGUGAAAGCCCGGGGCCCAACCCCAGGACUGCUCGUGGAACUGCGGGGCUGGAGUGCAGGAGGGGCA
rnacentral:rRNA from 1 species